rnacentral:rRNA from 1 species
CNGGCGGCGUGCCUACACAUGCAAGUCGAGCGGANAUGCGGCGUANUAAUACAAAGUAUCCUUAGCGGCGGACGGGUGAGUAACACGUGGGUAACCUGCCUCAGAGUGGGGGAUAGCCUUUCGAAAGGAAGAUUAAUACCGCAUAAGAUUGUAGCGUCACAUGGCGCAGCAAAAAAAGGAGCAAUCCGCUUUGAGAUGGACCCGCGGCGCAUUAGCUAGUUGGUGAGGUAACGGCUCACCAAGGCCACGAUGCGUAGCCGACCUGAGAGGGUGAUCGGCCUCAUUGGAACUAAGACACGGUCCAGACUCCUACGGGAGGCAGCAGUGGGGAAUAUUGCACAAUGGGCGAAAGCCUGAUGCAGCAACGCCGCGUGAGUGAUGAAGGCCUUCGGGUCGUAAAGCUCUUUGAUCAGGGAUGAUAAUGACAGUACCUGAAAAACAAGCCACGGCUAACUACGUGCCAGCAGCCGCGGUAAUACGUAGGUGGCGAGCGUUGUCCGGAAUUAUUGGGCGUAAAGGAUGCGUAGGUGGAUAUUUAAGUGGGAUGUGAAAUCCCCGGGCUCAACCCGGGAACUGCAUUCCAUACUGGAUAUCUAGAGUGCAGGAGAGGAAAGCGGAAUUCCUAGUGUAGCGGUGAAAUGCGUAGAUAUUAGGAGGAACACCAGUGGCGAAGGCGGCUUUCUGGACUGUAACUGACACUGAGGCAUGAAAGCGUGGGUAGCAAACAGAAUUAGAUACCCUGGUAGUCCACGCCGUAAACGAUGGGUACUAGGUGUAGGANGUAUCGAC